CAGCAGCCGCGGGAAUACGAAGGGGACUAGCGUUGUUCGGAUUUACUGGGCGUAAAGGGUGCGUAGGCGGAUUGUUAAGUCAGGGGUGAAAUCCCGAGGCUCAACCUCGGAACUGCCUUUGAUACUGGCGAUCUUGAGUCCGGGAGAGGUGAGUGGAACUGCGAGUGUAGAGGUGAAAUUCGUAGAUAUUCGCAAGAACACCGGUGGCGAAGGCGGCUCACUGGCCCGGAACUGACGCUGAGGCACGAAAGCGUGGGGAGCAAACAGGAUUAGAGACCCGUGUAGUCCCUGUCUCUUAUAC
rnacentral:rRNA from 1 species